rnacentral:rRNA from 1 species
AUUGAACGCUGGCGGCAGGCCUAACACAUGCAAGUCGAACGAGUGGCGGACGGGUGAGUAAUGUCUGGGAAUCUGCCUGAUGGAGGGGGAUAACUACUGGAAACGGUAGCUAAUACCGCAUACCAGCGCAUGCGCCCAGAUGGGAUUAGCUAGUAGGUGGGGUAAGGGCUCACCUCGGCGACGACCCCUAGCUGGUCUGAGAGGGUGACCAGCCACACUGGGACUGAGACACGGGCCAGACUCCUACGGGAGGCAGCAGUGGGGAAUAUUGCACAAUGGGCGCAAGCCUGAUGCAGCCAUGCCGCGUGUAUGAAGAAGGCCUUCGGGUUGUAAAGUACUUUCAGCCGGGAGGCGUUACCCGCAGAAGAAGCACCGGCUAACUCCGUGCCAGCAGCCGCGGUAAUUC